GUGAGUAACACGUGGGUGAUCUGCCCUGCACUUCGGGAUAAGCCUGGGAAACUGGGUCUAAUACCGGAUAUGACCUCCGACUGCAUGGUUGGGGGUGGAAAGGUUUACUGGUGCAGGAUGAGCCCGCGGCCUAUCAGCUUGUUGGUGGGGUAAUGGCCUACCAAGGCGACGACGGGUAGCCGACCUGAGAGGGUGACCGGCCACACUGGGACUGAGACACGGCCCAGACUCCUACGGGAGGCAGCAGUGGGGAAUAUUGCACAAUGGGCGAAAGCCUGAUGCAGCGACGCCGCGUGAGGGAUGACGGCCUUCGGGUUGUAAACCUCUUUCAGCAGGGACGAAGCGCAAGUGACGGUACCUGCAGAAGAAGCACCGGCUAACUACGUGCCAGCAGCCGCGGUAAUACGUAGGGUGCGAGCGUUGUCCGGAAUUACUGGGCGUAAAGAGUUCGUAGGCGGUUUGUCACGUCGUCUGUGAAAACCCACCGCUCAACGGUGGGCCGGCAGGCGAUACGGGCAGACUUGAGUACUGCAGGGGAGACUGGAAUUCCUGGUGUAGCGGUGAAAUGCGCAGAUAUCAGGAGGAACACCGGUGGCGAAGGCGGGUCUCUGGGCAGUAACUGACGCUGAGGAACGAAAGCGUGGGUAGCGAACAGGAUUAGAUACCCUGGUAGUCCACGCCGUAAACGGUG
rnacentral:rRNA from 1 species